rnacentral:misc_RNA from 1 species
UUUCCGUAGGUGAACCUGCGGAAGGGUCAUUACCGAGUGAGGGUCUCUCAGGCCCGACCUCCCACCCUGUGUUUUUUUGCCCUUGUUGCUUUGGCGGGCCCGCCUCGAUGAGUGGCCGCCGGAAGCUCACCGCUUUGGGCCCGUGCCCGUCAGUAGCCCCCUUAAAUUCUUAAUAAACCUGUCGUCUGAUUUAAUGGAUAUAAUGAAAAAAAACUUUCAACAACGGAUCUCUUGGUUCUG